rnacentral:rRNA from 1 species
GACGAACGCUGGCGGCGUGCUUAACACAUGCAAGUCGAACGGAAAGGCCCUUCGGGGUACUCGAGUGGCGAACGGGUGAGUAACACGUGGGUGAUCUGCCCUGCACUUUGGGAUAAGCCUGGGAAACUGGGUCUAAUACCGAAUAGGACCACGCGCUUCAUGGUGUGUGGUGGCAAGCUUUUGCGGUGUGGGAUGGGCCCGCGGCCUAUCAGCUUGUUGGUGGGGUAAUGGCAUACCAAGGCGACGACGGGUAGCCGGCCUGAGAGGGUGACCGGCCACACUGGGACUGAGAUACGGCCCAGACUCCUACGGGAGGCAGCAGUGGGGAAUAUUGCACAAUGGGCGCAAGCCUGAUGCAGCGACGCCGCGUGAGGGAUGACGGCCUUCGGGUUGUAAACCUCUUUCAAUAGGGACGAAGCGCAAGUGACGGUACCUAUAGAAGAAGCACCGGCCAACUACGUG